rnacentral:rRNA from 1 species
UACGUAGGGUGCAAGCGUUAAUCGGAAUUACUGGGCGUAAAGCGUGCGCAGGCGGCUCUGCAAGACAGAUGUGAAAUCCCCGGGCUCAACCUGGGAACUGCAUUUGUGACUGCAUGGCUAGAGUGCGGCAGAGGGGGAUGGAAUUCCGCGUGUAGCAGUGAAAUGCGUAGAUAUGCGGAGGAACACCGAUGGCGAAGGCAAUCCCCUGGGCCUGCACUGACGCUCAUGCACGAAAGCGUGGGGAGCAAACAGG